rnacentral:lncRNA from 1 species
CGGCUAAGAUGCACGCUGGCCGGCAGGGUUCCGGCCUGGCUGAGCCGCACAGUCGCCGUCUAGUGUUUGAGAUCUCAGGGAGACAUGGGGAGGGCCGUCUUGCCCGGGGCAUUCUGGCGGAAGGCGUCCCCGAGGAGGUGACAGCUGGAGAAGGAGUGACAGCCAGCCCUGAGGUUUACAUGGGACGAGCCAGCCCCCUUCUCCAAGUUGGGGCUCCGUUUCUCACCAUCCGCUGGAGGGUGUCAGAGGUUCAUAUGGUUCCCCGGGGACCCUCACACCAGCCCGGCUUCCUGCCCUUGGCCGAUGCCGCUCGGACGUUCCCUGCUGCCGCGUUCCCAGCAGCGCCGCGCAGCGGCUGCUCCACAGGCUCCUUUCCAGGCCGCCCUCGGCUGUCGGGGAAGGGUGUGCAGGCGCAAUAGUCCCACGUGAACUUCCGGCGGUCGUGCUCCUUAGGGACCCCCUGGCCUCAGGUCUGGGCCGGCCCCGGUGCCCCGGAUGUCUUGCCAGCACUCGGCCCGAGGGGAAGCUCUGCUGGAAGGGCCUCCUGGUCCUGCUGCAAAGACUCUGUCAGUUACUUUGCGUACGGUGGCUCCUGGCACUUAAUUGACUGAAAAGAAAUUAAGCAACAAUUAAGUUUUACGCUGUGGAUAAUCACAUGGAGCAUGUUGUUUGUGGCUUUUAGUAAUAGUCACUUGCCUUACUGAAGACCGCCUCGCCCCCGAAGGCCCAAGCACGCACAGCUGCACGUCCUGCUCGUAGUAGCCUGUGAGAACGCGGUGGCGCCCGGUUUCGUAGAAGAGGAAACCAAGACGAAGAGAAGCACCCUUCGCCCGAGAUGGACGAGGAGAAGAUGCCUGAGUGGGGGCUGGACGUCCCGGAGGCCCGACUCGGCCCUGCGGCCUCUCCUCUUAGGCCUGGGACACAGACCUGACCCUCGCUCGGUGGAGGGAUCUGGGGGGAUCUCGCUCGUUCCCUUAGCCCCCCAGGCCUGUUUCCCCUUCUGUGCAGCGAGGAUGGUGGCCACGUAGCAUAACCGAGGUAGUGCCUGGAUGCCCCUCGGUCCAGCCCAGGGGCCUUGCGCAGAAGGGGCGCUGCGUAAGCGGCUCGUCUCAUCCUUCGCCGAGGACCAGGCUGGGGACGUGCUUGUGGCUGGCAUCUCCCGGGUCAGGGGAAGGGCCAAGCCUCUCACAGCUCCUGGACCUUCAGACAGAACCCGCACCUCUCUUGGGAGAUCCCCACCUCUCGUGUCACCUCCAGACCAGUGACACUCGAGUGGCCCUGGUGUCAAACUCUAUCAAGAAGGAACUUCAUGACCAGGUCACGGCAACACCGGAUCCUUAACCCACUGAGCAAGGCCAGGGAUUGAACCCACAGCCUCAUGGUUCCUAGUCGGAUUCCUUAACCACUGAGCCAUGAUGGGAACUCCUGCCACCCCUCUUUUGACAUCAGACACCUAGACCCGUGAACCCCCCUCAUCAUUACAGAAUCGGGUCCUCUGCACCCUGCCCAUUAUCAGCUAGGACACUUUCAGCUGCAAGUAACAGAAACCUGAUCCAGCUGGAUUAAACAGUAAGGAAAGCAGGUGAGCCUCCCCAGGAAGGGCAGCUCUAGGCUGACCAGUUCGCUCCCUCAGUGGCAUGUCGAAGGGCCAUUCGCUCACACCUCUGCUCUGCCCUGCCCUGCCCUGCUCAGGUGAGGCAGCACGGGUUGCAACCGCGUAUGCCUCAGAGGUAAACUCUGAUUGGCUAAGCCAGUGGUUCUCCUUGCCAAUGACUGGCUUACAGAGGACAUGUGACCCUAUCCUAGCCAAUGAGGUUUGGGGGGGCUGGCUACUGAGGAAUGCUGGGAGAGGUUUCUUGAGC